AUUUCAGUUAACCCUCAGUAAAGGCCAAAUAAAAGCCUAGGAGGAUUUUAAAUUGGAUAAAGCUAAGCCACCACUAUUCAGCAUUAAAUGUACUUUUACAGAAAACAUUUUCUAGAUAUUUAUUUAUUUAUUUCGCUUCAACUGCCUGUCUGUUAAAUUAAUAUCUGCAGAGGGCUGUAGAAUAACCAUAUGUUGGUCCAUUCUUUUCACAGCCUUGUGGAGAAGGUUACUGGGGAAAAAAUGCCAUGCUUGUGAGCCAGAAGCACUCUGAAGUCAUCGUGUGAAUAUGUGCCUGAUGGUGGGCCCACACUCUACUGAGACCUGCCUGCAAUACGAAAAAAGAAAUGGAAAGAAGAAAGAAAUGCCAUUUCUGGGGCCUGGGCAGGGAGGCCGCUUGCCUCAAAUGGAGCCAUGGGACGGUGGAGGCCACAGGACACCAGAGCCAGAUGCUGCCUGGGGCUGGAGGAAGAGACUGGGAGCUAAGGCCAACGUCACUGAGGCUGCAGUGAGAAUCAGACAGAAGAGGACAACACCUGGAGUGCAGAGGGAAGAUAGCACAGAUUUGGUAGCUGUUCAAUUCCACAAAUCAAAGAUUGAUUUCCUCAAAAACAGAACAUCCCUUGUUCUCAGGCACGCUUUUUUUCCUUAUCUCAUCCCUCUCAGAUACUCAUACACAUGUACACCCCUGAUCCCAGCGGGGAUUGUCAUGCACACCUCUUCAAAAAGGAGCAAAGCAUUUGCAUUCUUUGAAAGUGAUAAUGAUGAAGAAAAACUGGAAGGAAAGGUGGCUUGGGAGUACAGGAGCUGGCUGGGUAAAGCAAGACUUGAUCUCUUCUUGCAGACUCUGGGAGAAGAAAACGGGUUCCCUGUGUCAGAAAGCUUUUACCUGAGCGGAGGCACACCCAGCUGA
rnacentral:lncRNA from 1 species